UUAAUGAGCUUGAAAAGCAUUUGUUUUGAAAACAAAAGAUAGAAUUAAUAAUCUAUUAA
rnacentral:tRNA from 1 species